rnacentral:rRNA from 1 species
CAGUCGCCGCGGUAAUACGAAGGGUGCAAGCGUUACUCGGAAUUACUGGGCGUAAAGCGUGCGUAGGUGGUGGUUUAAGUCCGUUGUGAAAGCCCUGGGCUCAACCUGGGAAUUGCAGUGGAUACUGGGUCACUAGAGUGUGGUAGAGGAUAGUGGAAUUUCCGGUGUAGCAGUGAAAUGCGUAGAGAUCGGAAGGAACAUCUGUGGCGAAGGCGACUAUCUGGGCCAACACUGACACUGUGGCACGAAAGCGUGGGGAGCAAACAGGAUUAGAUACCCCUGUAGUCCCUGUCUCUUAUAC